GAUGAAGAACGUAGCGAAAUGCGAUAAGUAGUGUGAAUUGCAGAAUUCAGUGAAUCAUCGAAUCUUUGAACGCACAUUGCGCCCCUCGGUAUUCCGUGGGGCAUGCCUGUUCGAGCGUCAUUUAACCCCUCAAGCCUAGCUUGGUAUUGGGUGCUUGUCCCGCCUCUCGCGCGGCGACUCACCUCAAAGUCAUUGGCAGCCCGCAUCUCGCCGACCGUGAGCGCAGCACAGACGCGCUCUUGGCAACGACGGAUCGGCUCUCCAAAAGCUUAUUUCAACCACUGACCUCGGAUCAGGUAGGGAUACCCGCUGAACUUAAGCAUAUCAAUAAGCGGAGG
rnacentral:misc_RNA from 1 species